rnacentral:tRNA from 1 species
GGGCUUGUGGUUUAGUGGUAUAAUUUUCCCUUAGCAUUUGUGUGGUUUACUACAACAUGAAGCGUGGGAAAGGUCCUGGGUUCGAUUCCCAGCAAGUCCA